AUUGAACGCUGGCGGCGUGCCUAACACAUGCAAGUCGAGCGGUAACAGGUGUAGCAAUACAUGCUGACGAGCGGCGAACGGGUGAGUAAUGCUUCGGAAUCUGCCUAUUAGUGGGGGACAACCCGGGGAAACUCGGGCUAAUACCGCAUACGCUCUACGGAGGAAAGCCGGGGACCGCAAGGCCUGGCGCUAAUAGAUGAGCCCAAGUCGGAUUAGCUAGUUGGUAGGGUAACGGCCUACCAAGGCGACAAUCCGUAGCUGGUCUGAGAGGACGACCAGCCACACCGGAACUGAGACACGGUCCGGACUCCUACGGGAGGCAGCAGUGGGGAAUAUUGGACAAUGGGGGCAACCCUGAUCCAGCGACGCCGCGUGGGUGAAGAAGGCCUGCGGGUUGUAAAGCCCUUUCGGUGGGGAAGAAAAGUCUCGACCCUAAUACGUCGGGACCUUGACGUAACCACUAAAGAAGCACCGGCUAACUCUGUGCCAGCAGCCGCCGCGGUAAG
rnacentral:rRNA from 1 species